rnacentral:rRNA from 1 species
UACGUAGGUGACAAGCGUUGUCCGGAUUUACUGGGCGUAAAGAGCGCGCAGGCGGUCGUUCAAGUCGAGUGUGAAAGCCCCCGGCUCAACUGGGGAGGGUCACUCGAUACUGAUCGACUCGAAGGCAGGAGAGGGUAGUGGAAUUCCCGGUGUGGUGGUGAAAUGCGUAGAUAUCGGGAGGAACACCAGUGGCGAAGGCGACUACCUGGCCUGUUCUUGACGCUGAGGCGCGAAAGCUAGGGGAGCAAACGGG